UUAAGCGACUAAGCGUACACGGUGGAUGCCCUGGCAGUCAGAGGCGAUGAAGGACGUGCUAAUCUGCGAAAAGCGCCGGCGAGGUGAUAUGAACCCUUGACCCGGCGAUGUCCGAAUGGGGAAACCCAGUGCAAUCCGUUGCACUAUCGUUAACUGAAUACAUAGGUUAACGAGGCGAACCGGGGGAACUGAAACAUCUAAGUACCCCGAGGAAAAGAAAUCAACCGAGAUUCCCCCAGUAGCGGCGAGCGAACGGGGAGCAGCCCGGAGUCUGAAUCAGCUUGUGUGUUAGUGGAACGGUCUGGAAAGUCCGACGGUACAGGGUGAUAGUCCCGUACACGAAAAUGCACAUGCUGUGAACUCGAAGAGUAGGGCGGGACACGUGGUAUCCUGUCUGAAUAUGGGGGGACCAUCCUCCAAGGCUAAAUACUCCUGACUGACCGAUAGUGAACCAGUACCGUGAGGGAAAGGCGAAAAGAACCCCGGCGAGGGGAGUGAAAAAGAACCUGAAACCGUGUACGUACAAGCAGUGGGAGCCUCUUUAUGGGGUGACUGCGUACCUUUUGUAUAAUGGGUCAGCGACUUAUAUUCUGUAGCAAGGUUAACCGUAUAGGGGAGCCGAAGGGAAACCGAGUCUUAACUGGGCGUUAAGUUGCAGGGUAUAGACCCGAAACCCGGUGAUCUAGCCAUGGGCAGGUUGAAGGUUGGGUAACACUAACUGGAGGACCGAACCGACUAAUGUUGAAAAAUUAGCGGAUGACCUGUGGCUGGGGGUGAAAGGCCAAUCAAACCGGGAGAUAGCUGGUUCUCCCCGAAAGCUAUUUAGGUAGCGCCUCGUGAACUCAUCUUCGGGGGUAGAGCACUGUUUCGGCUAGGGGGCCAUCCCGGCUUACCAACCCGAUGCAAACUACGAAUACCGAAGAAUGUUAUCACGGGAGACACACGGCGGGUGCUAACGUCCGUCGUGAAGAGGGAAACAACCCAGACCGCCAGCUAAGGUCCCAAAGUCAUGGUUAAGUGGGAAACGAUGUGGGAAGGCACAGACAGCCAGGAUGUUGGCUUAGAAGCAGCCAUCAUUUAAAGAAAGCGUAAUAGCUCACUGGUCGAGUCGGCCUGCGCGGAAGAUGUAACGGGGCUAAACCAUGCACCGAAGCUGCGGCAGCGACGCUUAUGCGUUGUUGGGUAGGGGAGCGUUCUGUAAGCCGUUGAAGGUGUGCUGUGAGGCAUGCUGGAGGUAUCAGAAGUGCGAAUGCUGACAUAAGUAACGAUAAAGCGGGUGAAAAGCCCGCUCGCCGGAAGACCAAGGGUUCCUGUCCAACGUUAAUCGGGGCAGGGUGAGUCGACCCCUAAGGCGAGGCCGAAAGGCGUAGUCGAUGGGAAACAGGUUAAUAUUCCUGUACUUGGUGUUACUGCGAAGGGGGGACGGAGAAGGCUAUGUCAGCCGGGCGACGGUUGUCCCGGUUUAAGCAUGUAGGCGGAGGUUCCAGGUAAAUCCGGUACCUUAUUAACGCUGAGGUGUGAUGACGAGGCACUACGGUGCUGAAGUGAUAAAUGCCCUGCUUCCAGGAAAAGCCUCUAAGCAUCAGGUAACACGAAAUCGUACCCCAAACCGACACAGGUGGUCAGGUAGAGAAUACCAAGGCGCUUGAGAGAACUCGGGUGAAGGAACUAGGCAAAAUGGUGCCGUAACUUCGGGAGAAGGCACGCUGAUGUGUAGGUGAAGCCCCUGCGGGUGGAGCUGAAAUCAGUCGAAGAUACCAGCUGGCUGCAACUGUUUAUUAAAAACACAGCACUGUGCAAACACGAAAGUGGACGUAUACGGUGUGACGCCUGCCCGGUGCCGGAAGGUUAAUUGAUGGGGUUAGCGGCAACGCGAAGCUCUUGAUCGAAGCCCCGGUAAACGGCGGCCGUAACUAUAACGGUCCUAAGGUAGCGAAAUUCCUUGUCGGGUAAGUUCCGACCUGCACGAAUGGCGUAAUGAUGGCCAGGCUGUCUCCACCCGAGACUCAGUGAAAUUGAACUCGCUGUGAAGAUGCAGUGUACCCGCGGCAAGACGGAAAGACCCCGUGAACCUUUACUAUAGCUUGACACUGAACACUGGUCCUUGAUGUGUAGGAUAGGUGGGAGGCUUUGAAGCGUGGACGCCAGUCUGCGUGGAGCCAACCUUGAAAUACCACCCUUUAAUGGCUGGUGUUCUAACGUGGACCCGUAAUCCGGGUUGCGGACAGUGUCUGGUGGGUAGUUUGACUGGGGCGGUCUCCUCCCAAAGAGUAACGGAGGAGCACGAAGGUUGGCUAAUCCUGGUCGGACAUCAGGAGGUUAGUGCAAUGGCAUAAGCCAGCUUGACUGCGAGCGUGACGGCGCGAGCAGGUGCGAAAGCAGGUCAUAGUGAUCCGGUGGUUCUGAAUGGAAGGGCCAUCGCUCAACGGAUAAAAGGUACUCCGGGGAUAACAGGCUGAUACCGCCCAAGAGUUCAUAUCGACGGCGGUGUUUGGCACCUCGAUGUCGGCUCAUCACAUCCUGGGGCUGAAGUAGGUCCCAAGGGUAUGGCUGUUCGCCAUUUAAAGUGGUACGCGAGCUGGGUUUAGAACGUCGUGAGACAGUUCGGUCCCUAUCUGCCGUGGGCGCUGGAGAAUUGAGGGGGGCUGCUCCUAGUACGAGAGGACCGGAGUGGACGCAUCACUGGUGUUCGGGUUGUCAUGCCAAUGGCACUGCCCGGUAGCUAAAUGCGGAAGAGAUAAGUGCUGAAAGCAUCUAAGCACGAAACUUGCCCCGAGAUGAGUUCUCCCUGAGACUUUAAGUCUCCUGAAGGAACGUUGAAGACGACGACGUUGAUAGGUCGGGUGUGUAAGCGCAGCGAUGCGUUGAGCUAACCGAUACUAAUGAACCGUGAGGCUUAACCUU
rnacentral:rRNA from 1 species